UACGGAGGGUGCAAGCGUUGCUCGGAAUUAUUGGGCGUAAAGGGUAGGUAGGUGGGUCGUUAAGUCGGGGGUGAAAUCCUGGAGCUCAACUCCAGAACUGCCUUCGAUACUGGCGAUCUUGAGUCCGGAAGAGGUGAGUGGAACUCCUAGUGUAGAGGUGGAAUUCGUAGAUAUUAGGAAGAACACCAGUGGCGAAGGCGGCUCACUGGUCCGGUACUGACGCUGAGGUGCGAAAGCGUGGGGAGCAAACAGG
rnacentral:rRNA from 1 species